CGUAGGGGCAAGCGUUGUCCGGAUUUAUUGGGCGUAAAGAGCGUGUAGGCGGCCAGAUAGGUCAGCUGUGAAAACUCGAGGCUCAACCUCGAGAUGUCGGCUGAAACCAUCUGGCUAGAGUCCGGAAGAGGAGAAUGGAAUUCCCGGUGUAGCGGUGAAAUGCGCAGAUAUCGGGAAGAACACCCGUGGCGAAGGCGGUUCUCUGGGACGGUACUGACGCUGAGACGCGAAAGCGUGGGGAGCGAACAGGAUU
rnacentral:rRNA from 1 species